CCCCUGAGUGGGACAAGCGUGCUAGCCAUGUCAAAAUCACAUAUAACAAUAAGGCCAAGCUCAAUUGAUUUCUUGGCAUUUGCAUACUGCCCAGAGCCAAUAGAAGAUCUAUGUAUACCACUGUCUACGUGAGUUGAGUUUCAAUAUUGGAGAUUUUCUCUACAAGGUGAGAAGGGCAAGCUAAACCAUGACCUGGGUUGGUUCUUUCGACGAUCUAAACUGAAGGUACUCAAAACUUUUGAAGCGAGGAGAAGAGAACAGGAUGCUUCGAGAAGUUGAACCCUUGCAAAACCCUAAUCCAGAUGACAUGAGGGACCAUCCUGAUCAAGGGUCAGACUACUGUGUGAAGUUCGUAGUUCUCGCCAUGUAUAUACAGGUUUUCAGGUAUCAAAGAAUGGAUGAAAAUAAUGCAACUGACGGCACAACGAUGCCACCUAAUAUGCUAUCGCUAGCUUAAGAUAUAGUUUUGCUCUUUUGAAUGUAUAAAGCUGUGUUUGCUUUGAUUUAUUACUUGAAAAGAGAUGUAAAUUCGGAUUAUAUUAUUUCAAUAAAGUGAGGUAUGGUUUGACCAGCUA